rnacentral:rRNA from 1 species
AUUGAACGCUGGCGGAAUGCUUUACACAUGCAAGUCGAACGGCAGCACGGGGCAACCUGGUGGCGAGUGGCGAACGGGUGAGUAAUACAUCGGAACGUGCCCAAUCGUGGGGGAUAACGUAGCGAAAGUUACGCUAAUACCGCAUACGAUCUACGGAUGAAAGCGGGGGAUCGCAAGACCUCGCGCGAAUGGAGCGGCCGAUGUCAGAUUAGGGAGUUGGUGGGGUAAAGGCUCACCAAGCCAACGAUCUGUAGCUGGUCUGGGAGGACGACCAGCCACACUGGGACUGAGACACGGCCCAGACUCCUACGGGAGGCAGCAGUGGGGAAUUUUGGACAAUGGGCGCAAGCCUGAUCCAGCCAUUCCGCGUGCAGGAUGAAGGCCUUCGGGUUGUAAACUGCUUUUGUACGGAACGAAACGGCUCUCUCUAAUACAGGGGGCUAAUGACGGUACCGUAAGAAUAAGCACCGGCUAACUACGUGCCAGCCGCCGCCGUAA